GGAAGUAAAAGUCGUAACAAGAUCUCCGUUGGUGAACCAGCGGAGGGAUCAUUACCGAGUGCAAACUCAUAACCCUUUGUGAACCUAUAUCUGUUGCUUCGGCGGCUCGCUCUCGGGCGAGCCCGCCGGUAAUAUCAGUAUCUCUGUUUGAACCCGACGAUACUUCUGAGUGUUCUUAGCGAACAGUUAAAACUUUUAACAACGGAUCUCUUGGCUCUA
rnacentral:misc_RNA from 1 species